CAGGAACCUGAAUCAGCGUACAGACCUCUAACCGCUGUCAGGAACGCCCUCCUGGGAGCAGGAGCGCUGGCCCCCUAUGCUUGGAACUCAUGCCAGC
rnacentral:sRNA from 1 species